rnacentral:tRNA from 1 species
CAUUAGAUAGCUUAAAGUAAGCUAUGGAUUUUUAAGCCAUUUUAUAAUAUAUUAACGAAUAUUUCUAAUGA